rnacentral:misc_RNA from 1 species
UGCCUAGUAAAGCUAGGACGUGGUUCGACGCUGACGGUAUUACUUUAUAACAAUGUCUAAAUUUUUUAUUUUUGAACUAAAACUCCCCCUAAACCCUCCCUUACGCACGCUUGCCUUGGGGAGUAAGCUACUGAAUCCGUGACAAGAGCGUUAUGAAAAGUGUGAUCGGGCGAGGCGAACGGAGCAAGAGAGAGAGAGAGAGAGCGUCACCGGUGAGAGGGGCCGGGUACUAUA